CCAUGCGAGUCAUUGUAGUAAUACAAGGCAGACGGCUCAGUAACGCGUAGUCAACCUACCCUAUGGACGGGGAUAACCUCGGGAAACUGAGAAUAAUACCCGAUAGAACAUUAUACCUGGAAUGGUUUAUGUUUCAAAUAAUUUAUUGCCGUAGGAUGGGACUGCGGCCUAUCAGUUUGUUGGUGAGGUAAUGGCCCACCAAGACUAUUACAGGUACGGGCUCUGAGAGGAGUAGCCCGGAGAUGGGUACUGAGACACGGACCCAGGCCCUAUGGGGCGCAGCAGGCGAGAAAACUUUGCAAUGUGCGAAAGCACGACGAGGUUAAUCCGAGUGGUUUCUGCUAAAGGAACCUUUUGUCAGUCCUAGAAACACUGGUGAAUAAGGGGUGGGCAAGUUCUGGUGUCAGCCGCCGCGGUAAAACCAGCACCUCAAGUGGUCAGGAUGAUUAUUGGGCCUAAAGCAUCCGUAGCCUGCUUUGUUAGUUUUCGGUUAAAUCCAUACGCUUAACGUAUGGGCUGCCGGGAAUACUGCAAAGCUAGGGAGUGGGAGAGGUAGACGGUACUCGGUAGGAAGGGGUAAAAUCCUUUGAUCUAUUGAUGACCACCUGUGGCGAAGGCGGUCUACCAGAACACGUCCGACGGUGAGGGAUGAAAGCUGGGGGAGCAAACCGGAUUAGAUACCCGGGUAGUCCCAGCUGUAAACUAUGCAAACUCGGUGAUGCAUUGGCUUGAUGCCAAUGCAGUGCCGCAGGGAAGCCGUUAAGUUUGCCGCCUGGAAAGUACGUACGCAAGUAU
rnacentral:rRNA from 1 species